rnacentral:rRNA from 1 species
UGGGGAAUAUUGGACAAUGGGCGCAAGCCUGAUCCAGCAAUGCCGCGUGAGUGAUGAAGGCCUUAGGGUUGUAAAGCUCUUUCGCACGCGACGAUGAUGACGGUAGCGUGAGAAGAAGCCCCGGCUAACUUCGUGCCAGCAGCCGCGGUAAUACGAAGGGGGCUAGCGUUGUUCGGAAUUACUGGGCGUAAAGGGCGCGUAGGCGGCCUGUUUAGUCAGAAGUGAAAGCCCCGGGCUCAACCUGGGAAUAGCUUUUGAUACUGGCAGGCUUGAGUUCCGGAGAGGAUGGUGGAAUUCCCAGUGUAGAGGUGAAAUUCGUAGAUAUUGGGAAGAACACCGGUGGCGAAAGGCGGCCAUCUGGACGGACACUGACGCUGAGGCGCGAAAGCGUGGGGAGCAAACAGGAUUAGAUACCCUGGUAGUCCACGCCGUAAAACAUGAAUGCUAGACGUCGGGGUGCAUGCACUUCGGUGUCGCCGCUAA